rnacentral:rRNA from 1 species
UACGUAGGGUCCGAGCGUUGUUCGGAAUUACUGGGCGUAAAGGGCUCGUAGGCGGCCAACUAAGUCAUACGUGAAAUCCCUCAGCUUAACUGGGGAACUGCGUGUGAUACUGGAUGGCUUGGAUUUGGGAGAGGGAUGCGGAAUUCCAGGUGUAGCGGUGAAAUGCGUAGAUAUCUGGAGGAACACCGGUGGCGAAGGCGGCAUCCUGGACCAAUAUUGACGCUGAGGAGCGAAAGCCAGGGGAGCAAACGGG